rnacentral:rRNA from 1 species
UAGGCGUACGGGUGAGUAACACGUGGAUCAUCUACCUCUUAGUGGGGAAUAACUCUGGGAAACCGGAGCUAAUACCGCAUAAGCCUGGAAAGGGAAAGCAGCAAUGCGCUGAGAGAGGAGUCCGCGGCCGAUUAGCUAGUUGGCAGGGUAAAAGCCUCCCAAGGCAUUGAUCGGUAGCCGGCCUGAGAGGGCACACGGCCACACUGGCACUGAAACACGGGCCAG